rnacentral:lncRNA from 1 species
AGCCAAUGCAUAUGUUCUUGUCGUAUAUAUUUUUUGAAUAAUAUAUUUUAUGUUUCAACACUCUCUGCAGACAUCACAUGCAAGCUGCAUACAUUGAUUCCAAUUUUCCUGGUUGAUUAUUUCUCCUCUUGGUGGUAAGUCAGACACUCAGGGGGAUAGUUGUUUUUCACAUGAGGCUAUAGCAUAUUGAAAUGACCAAGAUCAUCAAGCCACAUCCAGAACAAAUCAACAGUAAAUAGAGGCUUUGGCAGUAAAGAUGAAAUGUGGGAAAUAUCAGACUGUACUCCUUUCUAAUCUUAUAUUCUCAAACCAUCCUUCUCUGUGCCUGGCAUGGUGUCCCGCUCAGGAUUAAGGUUAAAUAAAUAUAUUUUAAAGUGAUCGAACAGGUAUUCAAUAAAUUCAUAUAGGAUGAAGGAAUGAAUGAAUGCAUGAAGAAAUCUUUCCUUCUGUGUGGAUCCAAUCCCGGAAAUGAAUAUUUUGCUGCAUAAGAAAUGAAAAGAGACAGACACGAGGAACAUUCUGUGGGAAAGAUUUUACCAGAGCUGGGAUGGCUUCAUAGGUAUGCAUGCGCAACAGGACAAGAGAAGGAAAUUCAAGACUCAGUGAAAAUCAACAGUCUAAAGUAGCCAGCAUUGCUGUGGAUUAUAUGGCCGGAGAACCCACAUCGCUCCUUUCAAGUCAAGUCCUGGGGUAAUUCGCACGGCUUCCUUCAAAGACUAAUUCAUUUAACACGGAACAGUACGGUUCAGAGCUGAAGUAAUAGUUAACAUAUUGCUUAACUCUAGCUUGGACUGUUCUUAACACUCAUAUCCUCUUUAUUAAAGGAUUGCUAGAAAGUCUGAAGCAAAUACAUAUUUUAAGAGGUUUUGUUUUUUCCUAAACUUGGGACUGGGGGAGGGUCCAAUGUUAAAAACAAUUGCGAGAGAGAUUUAGUUUAUAUAACACAGCAUUGUGUUGGGAACUAAUAGGCUAUUUUUUUUUUUUUUAUUAACUGUGAUAGUGGGUGCUCUGGCUCCAAGCUUCAAACCUAAAGAUCCAAGAUGCCUGAAACUCAGAAAAUCUCUAUGAGUGAAAGUCAACUUCCUCUUUACGUCUUCUCCGGGCACAUGUAUUUCAUGUUGUGGCUGUCGUUG